CAUGGCUUGUGCGGGAUGGUUCAUUCAAAUUACCUGGCCUAUCAACUUUCAAGUCGUAAGUCUUAGGUCUACAAUGGUUUCAACGGGUAACGGGGAAUUAGGGUUCUAUUCCGGAGAGGGAGCCUGAGAAACGGUACCACAUCCAAGGAAGGCAGCAGGCGCGCAAAUUACCCAAUCCCGACACGGGGAGGUAGUGACAAUAAAUACUGAUACAGGGCUCUUCUUGGGUCUUGUAAUUGGAAUGAGUACAAUUUAAAUCCCUUAACGAGGAACAAUUGGAGGGCAAGUCUGGUGCCAGCAGCCGCGGUAAUUCCAGCUCCAAUAGCGUAUAUUAAAGUUGUUGCAGUUAAAAAGCUCGUAGUUGAACCUUGGGCCUGGUUGGUCGGUCCCGCCUCACCGCGUGCACUGAUCCGACCGGGCCUUUCCUUCUGGGGAGCCGAUGCCCUUCACUGGGUGUGUCGGGGAACCACGGACUUUUACUUCUGGAAAAAUUAGAGUGGGGCAAAGCAGGCUAUGCUCGAAUACAUUAGCAUGGGAUAAUAGAAUAGGACGUGUGGUCUAUAUUGUGGGGUUCUAGAGACCGCCGUGAAUGAUUAAUAGGGAUAGUCGGGGGCAUCCA
rnacentral:rRNA from 1 species